rnacentral:rRNA from 1 species
AUUGAACGCUGGCGGCAGGCCUAACACAUGCAAGUCGAGCGGAUGAAGGGUGCUUGCUCCUGGAUUCAGCGUCGGACGGGUGAGUAAUGCCUAGGAAUCUGCCAGCUAGUUGGGGAUAACGUCCGGAAACGGGCGCUAAUACCGCAUACGUCCUGAGAGCGUAAGCGGGGGGGCUUCGGACUACAAGCUAUCAUAUGUGCCUCGGUCGGAUUAGCUAGUUGGUGGGGUAAAGGCCUACCAAGGCGACGAUUCGUAAGUGGCCUGAGAGGAUGAUCGGUCACACUGGAACUGAGACACGGUCCAGACUCCUACGGGAGGCAGCAGUGGGGAAUAUUGGACAAUGGGCGAAAGCCUGACGCAGCAACGCCGCGUGUGUGAAGAAGGUCUUCGGAUCGUAAAGCUCUGUUGUUAGGGAAGAAGGACAGUGUGGUAAUACCUCGCUGUAUUGACGGUACCAACAGAGAAAGCACCGGCUAACUUCGUG